rnacentral:rRNA from 1 species
UACAGAGGUGGCAAGCGUUGUUCGGAAUUACUGGGCGUAAAGGGCGCGUAGGCGGUCAGGUCAGUCCCGUGUGAAAUCCCUCGGCUCAACUGAGGAACUGCACGGGAAACUGCCUGGCUUGAGUUCGGGAGAGGGAAGCGGAAUUCCGGGUGUAGCGGUGAAAUGCGUAGAUAUCCGGAGGAACACCGGUGGCGAAGGCGGCUUCCUGGACCGACACUGACGCUGAUGCGCGAAAGCUAGGGGAGCAAACGGG